UGGUUUGUGUGACACUGCGG
rnacentral:misc_RNA from 1 species